AUUGAACGCUGGCGGCAUGCCUUACACAUGCAAGUCGAACGGAUCAGAGGGGCUUGCUCCUUUGGUUAGUGGCGAACGGGUGAGUAAAGCAUCGGAACGUACCCAGUUGUGGGGGAUAACGUAGCGAAAGUUACGCUAAUACCGCAUACGCACUGAGGUGGAAAGCGGGGGACCGAAAGGCCUCGCGCAAUUGGAGCGGCCGAUGUCGGAUUAGCUAGUUGGUGAGGGAAAGGCUCACCAAGGGGACGAUCCGUAGCUGGUCUGAGAGGACGACCAGCCACUCUGGAACUGAGACACGGUCCAGACUCCUACGGGAGGCAGCAGUGGGGAAUUUUGGGCAAUGGGCGAAAGCCUGAUCCAGCCAUGCCGCGUGAGUGAAGAAGGCCUUCGGGUUGUAAAGCUCUUUCAGACGGAAAGAAAUCUUUCGGGCGAAUAUCCCGGAAGGAUGACGGUACCGUAAGAAGAAGCACCGGCUAACUACGUGCCAGCCGCCGCCGUAA
rnacentral:rRNA from 1 species